GGAUCAACGAUGACUCCCACAAAUGCAUUCCUUGGAAAUCUGAACAAAAUGAGUGAGAAAUCCCUACCAUCUCCGCAUUGGAACUGAGGUCC